rnacentral:rRNA from 1 species
UACAGAGGUCUCAAGCGUUGUUCGGAUUCAUUGGGCGUAAAGGGUGCGUAGGUGGCGCUGUAAGUCGGGUGUGAAAUUUCGGAGCUUAACUCCGAAACUGCAUUCGAUACUGCGGUGCUUGAGGACUGGAGAGGAGACUGGAAUUCAUGGUGUAGCAGUGAAAUGCGUAGAGAUCAUGAGGAAGACCAGUGGCGAAGGCGGGUCUCUGGACAGUUCCUGACACUGAGGCACGAAGGCCAGGGGAGUAAACGGG